UAGGCCUAUGCCAUGUCUGCAGGGUGUUUGUUUAUUUCAAACUACGUGGCACACUCCUCAUCUUCAUCAGGCUCAAGUGAGCCAUCUGGUAAAGUAUGGCAACAAGGGUUUCUCUGAUGUUACUCUUGGUGAAAUAUGCAGAAUCCACCACAGAACUGCAAGUGGUGCUGGGAGAAAGCAGCACUCUUCAUAUAGAUGGCGCCACAGACAGUCAGUGCAAGACGACCAAAGGCGUCCGCGUCGUACAGUGUGACAGGAAAGGGAUGGGAGGCUUUGGCCCCGGAUAUCAGAAGCGUGUCAGUGGUUCCUGUGAUGCAAUCAAAUUGGGACCUGUAGAGAAGGAAGAUCUGGACCAGCCAAUAGUAUCCAUCACUGCGCCCCCUCAAAACAUGUCUGUGUACGUGAACGAGUCAGGAGUCACCGUGUAUUGGCAGCCCCCUCCUGCUCGCUGGCAGAGUGGACCCAUUCAGGGGUAUAAGGUGAAUUGUUCCUGCAUUGGCAUCGAACAGCCAAUGAGGAGAGUAGCCAAGACUUCCAUUGUGCUGGAAGGACUGCCUCCAGGGACCUCAUGCAGAGUGUGUGUAGCAGCUGUAAGCUCUGCCAGUGUUGGGGCCCAAAGUGAACUCCAACAUUUUGUAACUCCAACCAAAGGUUUGUAGUUUUUGGUGUUGGCAUUUUAACAGUUCCUGGUUCCAAAAAAAAAAAUUCCUAUGGAAAAAUGAGUUUUCACAAAAUCUGCGAAAGUAAGGUGUGAACAAAACACCAGUAUAAAACCUAGUCAAACCAUUUGGUGAGUUAAGCAGUAGGUCUUUGGUAACCGUUGACUUGUAAAAAUAAAUAUGUUGCUACCAAUAUCCCAAAGCAGAAAAAAACAGACUACAUCAUGUUGCUUGCCUUAUGGCUAUCAUAGUAUCCACUCUUCACUCACAUCCCUCAGUUUCUUAUGAAACUUAAUAUUACAGCACCAAAAAGCAUCUUAUUUAUACCAUGCAAUAGAUUGUGGCUAACAAAUCCUUAGGUGUUUAAAUACUGAAGUUAGCUGCGUGGCUGUUGUGAGAACAAAUUAUGAAUUUGCUGACGCAUUAGGGCUUACUUUGUAGUCCAUUAUUUUUUUUAAGGAAUGGCAACACAUAUUUAGAGAUAUAAGUGUUUAACAUUUAUACAGAGAUGGCAUACAAAUGCAUUUUAUUGAACAGAAUCAAAUCCCUCAAGCAGUUAUUUAACUACUACGGUUGUUAUUUGGACUGUUUUCCAAAACCCCAUUUGAUCUUUCAUAGGGAUUUAUUUUGUUUAAAAACGGAACUGGCAAACAUACUAGUUAAUCCGGCGCAUACAAAAUAACUCCCACACUCUAUAGCUGUAAUAUUUCAGUCCAAUUACAACAUGCUAGUGAGGUGGAACACAUAAUAUGCCAUUCAGUGGGCUGCAACAAUACCGUCUCAUUUUAAAGGCUUUGUAGGAAUUUUGAAGUUAUGUCUCGUAUGGAGUUAUUUUGCAAUAUUUUAGAAUAUUCCACAAGUUUAUGCACAUUCCAUAGUAACAGUUGGUAAUUUAUUUCUGUUACUAUAUGCUAGCAAGGUGAUAACUGAGUUAUGACGAUGCAGAUAGAUAUGCAGGAUGGUUUAACUAUAAUUGAUGAUUUAUUUUGAGUAAUUGUAUCUAUUUUUUAUCACUGGUUUAAUUAAACUAUUGUUUUGCAGAAGAACGGCAUGGAGUCCCCAUGUCUGGAGGCCCCCCAUUGUUUGGAUUCUGGUCAGUGUGGUGGCUGUGGCUGUGGCUGUGGUUUGUCUGAUCUGGUACUGCAUCAGGCGUAACAGAAGAAAUUUGGGAAAUGGAACUCCAGGAAUAGAACUGUCAGAUAGGAUGGAGAGCGAAGGCCUAACAGGCGACCAAACCUAGUCCAUACUCCCCACAGGGACAGGUAUGGGGCCAGAGAUGAGAUGUGAUUUGAUUCAUUCAACACCAACAAAGUGAACUAGUUUUCUGAACUCUGGUGCUGAACAAGGAACUAUACUAGACCGCUUGAAAAUGGGGUUCUGGAGUUCACUUGAACCCCUGUGCUGCUGGUAUUUGGUAUGAAAGCUUUCUGAUCUAACAUGAGGAUGUUGUAGGUACACUGGCAACCAGCCUCACAUGGGCACAUGAAUAAUGUAGGUACCUUACCUUGUGAGUAGGCGCCAGAUAAAUGUGAGUGCAAUUGUGCAUAAAUAGUAAUACGGUCUUCAUAAGGGCCACCAAGACAACAUUGGUACCCCCAGGUAUCAACUUUAAUAACACUGUUUAUGUAAAUGAAUCUGAAUCUGGCAAUGUUUUCUACAGAGCAGCAUAUAACACCACUACCUCAGAAAAUUCCAGACCCCAUGCUGCCCCUUUAAACAUACUGGUAAUCUUAUUUAAUAGUAAUUAAAUAGUCGGUGGCAUGGUCAAACACAUAGUAGAAAUCACAGAGCAUCUGGUACCUGUCUCAGUAAUCUUACACCUAUCAAUAUUCAGCCACAGCCAGUAUCCUCUCCUGUCACAGAAUCCCUACAGCUGAAAUUUGCUCUUUUUAAUGUCAGAUCAUUAGCUAACAAAUCCUUGAACUUGGAGCUCAUGUGUCUAAGCAAUAUGACAUCUGCUUUGGGGUUGCACAAGGGAGCUGCCACGUUAAACAAAAACAUAAUUGUUCCACCUUAGAAACAUAGCUAAAGUACAACCAUUUAUAAAUCAAAAAGAUGCUGAAGAACUGAUUCAUGCCUUUAUUUCAAGCCGGCUCGAUUAUUGUAAUGCAAUUCUAACUGGCCUUCCGAAAAAAACAACUGAGAGACUUUUGCUCAUUCAAAACUCUGCAGCUCGGCUAUUAACCAGAACCAAGAGGAGAGAGCACAUUCGUCCAGUUAUAGCUGCUCUGCGCUGGCUUCCAGUAACAUUUAGAAUUGAUUUGAAGGUCCUUCUCCUUAUAUACAAAGCCCUUAAUGGGCUAGGACCAAGUUACAUUGCAAACUCCCUAGUCAAAUACUUGCCCUCAAGAACACUGCAAUCCUCUUAUGCUGGUUUAUUGGAGGUUCCCAGCAACAGCCAUAAGAAAAUCGGGGAUGUAGCCUUUCUCAAUUACGACCCAAAGCUAUGGAAAACACUGCCUUUAGAUAUCAGGGACGCUAGCUCGCUUAACAUUUUUAAAAGAAAGCUAAAAACUCAUCUCUUCACCUUAGCCUUUAACUAGCUACAACGAUAUAAUGUGAUAUUAAGGUGCAUCUAUCUCUACAGUUUUAUUCAUUUUCUGUCUUAUAAUACAUAAAUUGCAUAACAUAUCUUUGCACUCCAGCCCUGUCUUUUAUCUUUAUGUUUUUAUGUUUACUUUAUUUAUGCGUGUGCAUUUUAUCCUAGUUUGUAUGUUGAUGUUUUUAUGUUUUUUUUGUUGUCUAUUUUUCUGUGGAUCACUGUGCAUGUAAUUUCUCUCCACGUAAUUUAUUUGCUGUUAAGCACUUUGAGCUUCAUUGUUUUGUAUGAAAGGUGCUAUACAAAUGAAGUUUAUUAUUAUUAUUAACGGCACCAAUAAUAUGUUGUCAUGUGUCACCCAAUUGGACAGGCAUCAACCAACACAACAGCAGAUUAAUUAACACAUGGGGGCGCCACACAAAGUGUAUCAGUCUCAUAAAAUAUAGUCAGCUAUCAAUUUAGUACUCUUAAAUAAUUAAAUUAAGAACUGCAACUAAAGAGACCUAAUUAAUAACAAGGUUGAAGGUCUUUGGAUUUCUAAAUAGAAGAGGUUGGCAGCAUUCAUUCUUUUGUAACAUUAAAUAGACCAGCGUAUAUAAUCAAAUAAUUUAUUUACAGAAUGAUCAAAAGUAACACACUUUAUCUAACCUAACUAAAUGUAUCUAACGAAUUAAUUAAAGAGGAGUGUGUGUAAGCUUGUGUGCUCUAUCAGGUUCACCCAGAAAGAAUGUGUGUGUGUUCCUUUGUUCAGUCACCAUAGUUUUGCGUGCAUGUGUGCAAGUUUGUGAAUAUGUGAUAUGAACAAAGGAUGAGCCUAUGUGAAGCAUUAAGUUUUAGGGUUCCCUUUGCGUGUGUGUGGCUAUGUUGAGGCCAAUGUAUGUGCAAUCCAUGUGAUUACGGUGCCAACUUACAAGUGGGAAAUGGUUAGUAAGGCAUGCAAGACACUUUGACUCUCAGUUUGUGCUACUUUAUUAUUUAAUGGUUUGAAUAUAUGGCAGUGCAUCACAAGAAGUGCAUUAUGAUACAGCUGAAAACAUGGAAAAAGUACCACUGCCAUUCUGAUUAUCUUGAAUUUUGAAAAAAAUAUUUUUUUAAAGAUUAUAACUUUUUUUUGACAGUUACUGUAGGAUAAUUGCUCUCCGUCCUAUUCCUGCUGAAAAGUGUUUACAGUCUUCCUUGGUUUUGUUUUCUUUUGUAUUUAUGGGAAGCCAGCUCGCUAAACAUUUGUUUUAAAGAAAACUAAAAACGCCUCUUCACCUUGCACCUCUGAGUUUUAUUUCUAUCUUAUGUUAUGCAUUUUAUGUAUUCUAUUUUUUAUCUUAAAUCUUUAUGCACUCUAUCCCUGUUUUUAUGUUAAUUAAAAAAAAAUGUUAUGCACUCUAUCCUAGUUUCUAUGUUUUAUGUUUAUUUGAUGUCUAUUUUUAUGUGGAUCACUGUGCAUGGUAUUACUUUGGGCACUUAAUUUCUUUGCUGGUAAGCACUUUGAGCAUGAAAAGUGCUAUACAAAUAAAGAUUUAUUAUUGUUAUUAUUGUUCGGCAUUUGACAUUGGUCUGGGUCUAACGUGCCUUUUACUACCUUCAUUGUUGUCCCCUCCCCGCCACAGUGCUAAGGCAAUAGGUGCGGUACCGGCUGCCCCAGUGUUCUGCCCUGGUUUGGGUAUCCCCCUAAAGAUUGAACUCUGCCCUUUCCCAGCCAGUUAGUCUUGCCCUCUUCUCUCUAGAGCAAUACAGAGAGUGUUGCAGCUGUUCUACGGGCCAGGUCGCCGGAUCUGAGCCCUCUUCUUUGUGCACUGCAUGCCGUACUCAAAGUGGUAACCUGCAGCUCGCCAUUUGCUGUGAUCCCAGAGUAUCUCUGCCUAGGUGUAUUGUGUGUUUGUGUGUGGACAUGUGAGUAGGCACCAGAGUCAAAAGCACGGGUGGUCUAUCUGUCUCACUCCUCUUCCAGGACAGGUAACCCCCCUCAACACCUCCUCCAUGUAACCCCCUUCAGUGCCCCCUACCCUUCUGGUGGCAGCUAUUACCCUUCCCUCUUGACAUAUAGCUGCUUAUGUUGUUGUGGCCUGAUGUGGGUUUAGCCCAGCUGAGAGAACAAUUAAAUCUGUAGUGUAUUAUCAUUGCACCAUGUAUUAAUAAAUAUUGUGUAUUUUUCUAUUGAAAUAACACGUCUGUCAUCACUUGAGUGUAUCUGUGUGUGAGAGCCCUCUUGUCACUGUUAGAGGUCUAGAUGGACAUCCUGUAUAUCUUGGUGUGAAAGGCCCCAAAGUGGCGUAGUCAAGCACUUCAGAGCUAAGACCUUAACGCCAGUGGGUGACCCAACCACACACCUAGGCACCCUUACAUGAACUCUAACCACACCCUUACACACACAAAAUGUCCUAAUUUAAACUUGUGGGCUGUAUGUACAGUGUGUAAAAUGUGCAAUGCUUACUACAGGGUUUCAGCAAUGAGGAGUAACCUCUGAAUUGUUUUGUAAUCCAUUUAAAGAAAUCAGUGAUCUCUCAAUAGGUAUGAGAACUAUCUGUUGGUUAAUACAAAAACAUGGGAGAGAUUGGUAAGUGCAGAACACUGAACUGCUUCUACCUAGUGCAAAGGGUUACAUUUGACCAAUAUUUGCAAACUCAGUGGUAACC
ensembl:lncRNA